CCGCAGGUUCACCUACGGAA
rnacentral:siRNA from 1 species